GGAGCUUGCUCCUUGAUUCAGCGGCGGACGGGUGAGUAAUGCCUAGGAAUCUGCCUAUUAGUGGGGGACAACGUUUCGAAAGGAACGCUAAUACCGCAUACGUCCUACGGGAGAAAGCAGGGGACCUUCGGGCCUUGCGCUAAUAGAUGAGCCUAGGUCGGAUUAGCUAGUUGGUGAGGUAAUGGCUCACCAAGGCGACGAUCCGUAACUGGUCUGAGAGGAUGAUCAGUCACACUGGAACUGAGACACGGUCCAGACUCCUACGGGAGGCAGCAGUGGGGAAUAUUGGACAAUGGGCGAAAGCCUGAUCCAGCCAUGCCGCGUGUGUGAAGAAGGUCUUCGGAUUGUAAAGCACUUUAAGUUGGGAGGAAGGGUUGUAGAUUAAUACUCUGCAAUUUUGACGUUACCGACAGAAUAAGCACCGGCUAACUCUGUGCCAGCAGCCGCGGUAAUACAGAGGGUGCAAGCGUUAAUCGGAAUUACUGGGCGUAAAGCGCGCGUAGGUGGUUCGUUAAGUUGGAUGUGAAAUCCCCGGGCUCAACCUGGGAACUGCAUUCAAAACUGUCGAGCUAGAGUAUGGUAGAGGGUGGUGGAAUUUCCUGUGUAGCGGUGAAAUGCGUAGAUAUAGGAAGGAACACCAGUGGCGAAGGCGACCACCUGGACUGAUACUGACACUGAGGUGCGAAAGCGUGGGGAGCAAACAGGAUAAA
rnacentral:rRNA from 1 species